rnacentral:rRNA from 1 species
UAGGGAAUCUUCCACAAUGGGCGAAAGCCUGAUGGAGCAACGCCGCGUGUGUGAUGAAGGCUUUCGGGUCGUAAAGCACUGUUGUAUGGGAAGAACAGCUAGAAUAGGAAAUGAUUUUAGUUUGACGGUACCAUACCAGAAAGGGACGGCUAACUACGUGCCAG